UUUAAAGUUGAUUCAUGGCUCAGGAUGAUCGCGGUCGUCGUGCAUAAUACAUGCAUGUCGAGCGAACAGUCGAGAAGCUCGCUUUUUUGAUGUUAGCGGUUUACGCGUGAGUAACACGUGGAUAACCUACCUAUAUGACUGGGAUAACUUCGGGAAACCGGAGUUAAUACCGGAUAAUAUUUUGAACCGCAUGGUUCAAAAGUGAAAGACGGUCUUGCUGUCACUUAUAGAUGGAUCCGCGCUGCAUUAGCUAGUUGGUAAGGUAACGGCUUACCAAGGCAACGAUGCAUAGCCGACCUGAGAGGGUGAUCGGCCACACUGGAACUGAGACACGGUCCAGACUCCUACGGGAGGCAGCAGUAGGGAAUCUUCCGCAAUGGGCGAAAGCCUGACGGAGCAACGCCGCGUGAGUGAUGAAGGUCUUCGGAUCGUAAAACUCUGUUAUUAGGGAAGAACAUAUGUGUAAGUAACUGUGCACAUCUUGACGGUACCUAAUCAGAAAGCCACGGCUAAGUACGUGCCAGCAGCCGCGGUAAUACGUAGGUGGCAAGCGUUAUCCGGAAUUAUUGGGCGUAAAGCGCGCGUAGGCGGUUUUUUAAGUUCUGAUGUGAAAGCCCACGGCUCAACCGUGGAGGGUCAUUGGAAACUGGAAAACUUGAGUGCAGAAGAGGAAAGUGGAAUUCCAUGUGUAGCGGUGAAAUGCGCAGAGAUAUGGAGGAACACCAGUGGCGAAGGCGACUUUCUGGUCUGUAACUGACGCUGAUGUGCGAAAGCGUGGGGAUCAAACAGGAUUAGAUACCCUGGUAGUCCACGCCGUAAACGAUGAGUGCUAAGUGUUAGGGGGUUUCCGCCCCUUAGUGCUGCAGCUAACGCAUUAAGCACUCCGCCUGGGGAGUACGACCGCAAGGUUGAAACUCAAAGGAAUUGACGGGGACCCGCACAAGCGGUGGAGCAUGUGGUUUAAUUCGAAGCAACGCGAAUAACCUUACCAGAUCUUGACAUCCUUUGACAACUCUAGAGAUAGAGCCUUCCCCUUCGGGGGACAAACUGACAGGUGGUGCAUGGUUGUCGUCAGCUCGUGUCGUGAGAUGUUGAAGUUAAGUCCCGCAACGAGCGCAACCCUUAAGCUUAGUUGCCAUCAUUAAGUUGGGCACUCUAAUUUGACUGCGGGGUGACUAACCGGAGGAAGGUGAAGUAUGACAUCCAAUCAUCACGCCCCUUAUGGGUUAGAGCUCCGCACGUGCUACAAUGGACAAUACAAACGUGCAG
rnacentral:rRNA from 1 species